CCAAUUUUACGAUCGUGUUAGUUGCAGGUAUUAAUGAUUCCCUUGAAAACAAUAUCUUCCAGCCGUAUUAUCAUUUCGGUGGUUGUGCUAUCAUCAUUAAGAUGUCUAGUCGAAGAGACGGUUAUUAAUGUUGCAAUCGGUUAGGCGACUAGACUGAUCCGAUCAAUUUGAUUCUGACUAUUCGGAUGCCGCUAUGCAUCCAACAAUUAUUGAUUUC
rnacentral:lncRNA from 1 species